GCCUGAGUACAGUUUAUGGUGGGACUUAUAUGUUGAAUAAGCCUGAGUGCAAGGUAGAGUUCAACGAGGAAGGGAAAGUUAUCGGUGUCACAUCUGAAGGGGAAACUGCUAAGUGCAAAAAAGUUGUAUGUGAUCCUUCUUACUUGCCUAACAAGGUUAGGAAGGUUGGUAAGGUUGCAAGAGUUAUUGCCAUCAUGAGCCACCCAAUUCCAAACACCAAUGAAUCUCACUCAGUGUAGGUUAUCCUGCCACAGAAGCAGUUGGGUUGCAGAUCAGAU